GAUUAACGCUGGCGGCAUGCCUAAUACAUGCAAAUCGAACGAAGUACUUGUACUUAGUGGUGAACGGGUGAGUAACACGUAUCCAAUCUACCCUUAGGUUGGGGAUAACUAGUCGAAAGAUUAGCUAAUACCGAAUAUCAAUAUUACUAUCGCAUGAGAAAAUAUUGAAAGAUCCGUUUGGAUCGCCUUUGGAUGAGGGUGCGGCAUAUCAGAUAGUUGGUGAGGUAAUGGCUCACCAAGUCAAUGACGUGUAGCUGUACUGAGAGGUAGAACAGCCACAAUGGGACUGAGACACGGCCCAUACUCCUACGGGAGGCAGCAGUAGGGAAUUUUUCACAAUGGGCGAAAGCCUGAUGGAGCAAUGCCGCGUGAAUGAUGAAGGUCUUAUAGAUUGUAAAAUUCUUUUAUUUGGGAAGAAAAACUAAAGUAGGAAAUGACUUUAGUCUGACUGUACCAUUUGAAUAAGUAUCGGCUAACUAUGUGCCAGCAGCCGCGGUAAUACAUAGGAUGCAAGCGUUAUCCGGAUUUACUGGGCGUAAAACGAGCGCAGGCGGGUUAACAAGUUUGGUAUGAAAGGCUUUUGCUUAACGAAAGUUUGUAUCAAAAACUGUUAAUCUAGAGUGUAGUAGAGAGUUCUGGAAUUCCAUGUGGAGCGGUGGAAUGCGUAGAUAUAUGGAAGAACACCAGUGGCGAAGGCGAGAACUUAGGCUAUCACUGACGCUUAGGCUCGAAAGUGUGGGGAGCAAAUAGGAUUAGAUACCCUAGUAGUCCACACCGUAAACGAUGGUUAUUAAAUGUCGGUGCGAUUUGCAUCGGUGUUGAAGCUAACGCAUUAAAUAACCUGCCUGGGUAGUACAUUCGCAAGAAUGAAACUCAAACGGAAUUGACGGGGACCCGCACAAGUGGUGGAGCAUGUUGCUUAAUUUGACGAUACACGUAAAACCUUACCUAGGUUUGACAUCUCCUGCAAAGUGAUAGAAAUAUCAUGGAGGUUAACAGGAAGACAGGUGGUGCAUGGUUGUCGUCAGCUCGUGUCGUGAGAUGUUGGGUUAAGUCCCGCAACGAGCGCAACCCCUGUUGUUAGUUACUUUAUCUAACGAGACUGCUACCGCAAGGUAGAGGAAGGUGGGGAUGACGUCAAAUCAUCAUGCCCCUUAUAUCUAGGGCCGCAAACGUGCUACAAUGGACGAUACAAACUGUUGCCAAAUCGUAAGGUGGAGCUAAUCAGAAAAGUCGUUCUCAGUUCGGAUUGAGGGCUGAAAUUCGCCCUCAUGAAGUUGGAAUCACUAGUAAUCGCGAAUCAGACAUGUCGCGGUGAAUACGUUCUCGGGUCUUGUACACACCGCCCGUCAAACUAUGGGAGCUGAUAAUAUCUAAAAACGUUUUGUUAACCGCAAGGAGGCAGAUGUCUAGGAUAGGAUUGGUAACUGGAGUUAAGUCGUAACAAGGUAUCCCUACGAGAACGUGGGGAUGGAUCACCUCCUUUCUUCGGAGUAUAUUCAUACUUUAAAGAACACAAAAAAGUGUACUUUUAUUUAAUAAAAAUCCUAAUUAUAUGUCUCACAAUUUUAAAUAUAGUUAGGUCGGAUUCUAUUAAGUUUUGAGAGUUCAAACUCUCCUAUCAAAUCAAAUUUGAUAGAAGAUAGUUCUUUGUAAACUAAAUAUUAUCAUCAAUCUUUCCGGUUGAUUUUUUGUAAAAGAAAUCAGCCAAUUAAGUUAACAAAAUUAAGGAUUUAUUAAUAAGUUAUUAAGAGCUUAUGGUGAAUGCCUUGGGACAUAAAGGCGAUGAAGGACGUGCAAAUCUGCGAUAUGCUACGGGUAGCUGAUAAGGAGCAAUGAUCCGUAGAUUUCCGAAUGGGGAAACCCUAUAUAAAGUAAUUUAUAUAAUCUUUAACUGAAUACAUAGGUUAUUGAAGCGAUACCUAGUGAAGUGAAACAUCUCAGUAGCUAGAGGAAAAGAAAACGAAUGUGAUUCCCUCAGUAGCGGCGAGCGAAAGGGGAACAGGCCAAACUGCACACGAUGCAGGGUUGUAGGACUAUAAUGUGGACUUAGAGAUAAUAGUAGAAUUGGUUGGGAAGCCAAACCAUAGAAUGUGAUAGUCAUGUAUACGAAAUUAUCUUUAUACCUAGUAGUAUCCUGAGUACGGCGAGACACGUGGAAUCUUGUCGGAAUCCGCCCAGACCAUUGGGUAAGCCUAAAUACUAAUAUGUCACCGAUAGCGCAU
rnacentral:rRNA from 1 species